UACGUAGGGUGCAAGCGUUGUCCGGAAUUAUUGGGCGUAAAGAGCUUGUAGGCGGUUUGUCGCGUCUGCUGUGAAAUUUCGGGGCUCAACCCCGAACUUGCAGUGGGUACGGGCAGACUAGAGUGUGGUAGGGGAGACUGGAAUUCCUGGUGUAGCGGUGAAAUGCGCAGAUAUCCGGAGGAACACCAGCGGCGAAGGCGGCUUUCUGGUCCGAUUCUGACGCUGAGGCGCGAAAGCGUGGGGAGCGAACAGG
rnacentral:rRNA from 1 species